AUAUGAAAUGAUGGUUGGAUGUUUGCUUUACGUCCCUUCAAAAUCUUCUCACUCAUGUUGGGAUGUGGAAGGGAACAAAUUUAAUCUGUAAUCGGCACUAAUGGCAUUGAGCAUUAAAGGAUCUAUUGCGUCAUGUGACCUCGAUUGAUAUAUUUCAUCAGAAGGACCGUCUUGUGAAAUGAUGAUUUAUAAAGUAAACUUGUACAAGGUUUCAGCACUGAAAGAUAGAACAACGUUUGGCGCCCUUGGUAUAUCAUCUGUUCAUCAUUAUUAAAAAAAGGCCAACAUUUCUUCCUUGGAGAGCUGAGGAACGAUUUUAGUCAGGAAAAACAUUAUGCACGUGCGCAUUACAUGUACUAUCAAGGAAACAAACUUAUUUACUUCACGCUUAAGCGCCGAUUGACUACUGGCUCUCUUGAGGAUGGUUGUGAAAAAAUCUUCAUUAUUCCAAAACGUACCUAGUACGAUGCAGUAUUCAGUGCUUAUUUAGCAACCAUGUCAUUAUAUUCAAGGAAUAAUUGUGGGGCUACUCGACGAAUUUUAAGGAUUACGUGGGAAUUUUUUUUUUUAAAAGACACAUGCAGUAAUACAUGAUAUAUGUAACAGGGAUACCCAAUGAAAAGGAAGGAAACAAAACAGUUUAGAUUCCAGAAUAAGAAUUGUGGUUUAAUCUGGAGUCGAUGUGAUCGCAUUGCCAUGAUUGUACGUCUCGUCGUCAUUGACGAAUUUCAAGGUCUACAAAAUGUCAGGAGGAGAAACAUAUCGGUACAGAUAACCGAAUGAGGAUGGAUUCUGAUGAUGUAAAGAGAAAAAGUUAAACGGACAUCACAAGGAAGCGGUGUAAAACAAGUCCCCGAAGAUAUGAAUGGUGUUGUCGGCUCUACUGCAAUACAGAACUUGACAGUUUUGAAAAUCAUUGUCGAAAUCAUUUCAGGAACAUCAAUGAUUUUGAUGAGACAUUUUAUUUUUUUUUACUUUCCUUUAAUCUGUACAGUGUUUUAAUGUUAUAUUCAACUUCUGGUGUAAA